GAUGAACGCUGGCGGCGUGCCUAAUACAUGCAAGUCGAGCGAACAGACGAGGAGCUUGCUCCUCUGACGUUAGCGGCGGACGGGUGAGUAACACGUGGAUAACCUACCUAUAAGACUGGGAUAACUUCGGGAAACCGGAGCUAAUACCGGAUAAUAUAUUGAACCGCAUGGUUCAAUAGUGAAAGACGGUUUUGCUGUCACUUAUAGAUGGAUCCGCGCUGCAUUAGCUAGUUGGUAAGGUAACGGCUUACCAAGGCAACGAUGCGUAGCCGACCUGAGAGGGUGAUCGGCCACACUGGAACUGAGACACGGUCCAGACUCCUACGGGAGGCAGCAGUAGGGAAUCUUCCGCAAUGGGCGAAAGCCUGACGGAGCAACGCCGCGUGAGUGAUGAAGGUCUUCGGAUCGUAAAACUCUGUUAUUAGGGAAGAACAAAUGUGUAAGUAACUGUGCGCGUCUUGACGGUACCUAAUCAGAAAGCCACGGCUAACUACGUG
rnacentral:rRNA from 1 species